rnacentral:rRNA from 1 species
CCCCUAGAUGUUCUGGGCCGCACGCGCGCUACACUGAACAGUUCAACAAGUCUUAACCUUGGCCGAUAGGUCUGGGUAAUCUUUGAACGCUGUUCGUGAUUGGGAUAGACCUUUGCAAUUAUGGGUCUUCAACGAGGAAUUCCUAGUAAACGCAAGUCAUCAGCUUGCAUUGAUUACGUCCCUGCCCUUUGUACACACCGCCCGUCGCACCUACCGAUUGAAUGGUCCGGUGAAAUCUCGGGACGGCGGCUUGGUCGCUUGCGUCCGACUGCUGAAACUUGAUUAAACCAUACCAUUUAGAGGAAGGUGAAGUCGUAACA